CGUAAGCGCGCGUAGGCGGUUUUUUAAGUCUGAUGUGAAAGCCCACGGCUCAACCGUGGAGGGUCAUUGGAAACUGGAAAACUUGAGUGCAGAAGAGGAAAGUGGAAUUCCAUGUGUAGCGGUGAAAUGCGCAGAGAUAUGGAGGAACACCAGUGGCGAAGGCGACUUUCUGGUCUGUAACUGACGCUGAUGUGCGAAAGCGUGGGGAUCAAACAGGAUUAGAUA
rnacentral:rRNA from 1 species